rnacentral:rRNA from 1 species
AGAGUUUGAUCAUGGCUCAGAUUGAACGCUGGCGGCAUGCCUUACACAUGCAAGUCGAACGGUAACGCGGGGCAACCUGGCGACGAGUGGCGAACGGGUGAGUAAAGCAUCGGAACGUGCCCAGUAGUGGGGGAUAGCCCGGCGAAAGCCGGAUUAAUACCGCAUACGACCUACGGGUGAAAGCGGGGGAUCGCAAGACCUCGCGCUAUUGGAGCGGCCGAUGUCAGAUUAGGUAGUUGGUGAGGUAACGGCUCACCAAGGCUAUGACGGGUAGCUGGUCUGAGAGGACGACCAGCCACACUGGAACUGAGACACGGUCCAGACACCUACGGGUGGCAGCAGUCGAGAAUUCUUCUCAAUGGGGGAAACCCUGAAGGAGCGACGCCGCGUGGAGGAUGACGGUCUUCGGAUUGUAAACUCCUGUCAUUAGGGAACAAUUGUCGCCGAUUAACUACCGGCGGCUUGAUAGUACCUGAAGAGGAAGAGACGGCUAACUCUGUGCCAGCAGCCGCGGUAAUACAGAGGUCUCAAGCGUUGUUCGGAUUCAUUGGGCGUAAAGGGUGCGUAGGUGGCGCCGUAAGUCAGGUGUGAAAUCUCGGGGCUCAACCCCGAAACUGCACUUGAUACUGCGGUGCUCGAGUACUGGAGAGGAGAUUGGAAUUUACGGUGUAGCAGUGAAAUGCGUAGAUAUCGUAAGGAAGACCAGUGGCGAAGGCGAAUCUCUGGACAGUUACUGACACUGAGGCACGAAGGCCAGGGGAGCAAACGGGAUUAGAUACCCCGGUAGUCCUGGCAGUAAACGGUGCGCGUUUGGUGUGGGAGGAUUCGACCCCUUCUGUGCCGGAGCUAACGCGUUAAACGCGCCGCCUGGGGAGUACGGUCGCAAGAUUAAAACUCAAAGAAAUUGACGGGGGCCCGCACAAGCGGUGGAGUAUGUGGCUUAAUUCGAUGCAACGCGAAGAACCUUACCUGGCCUUGACAUGCAUCUCUAAGUCGGUGAAAGCCGGCGAGUGUAGCAAUACACAAUUUGCACAGGUGCUGCAUGGCUGUCGUCAGCUCGUGUCGUGAGAUGUUGGGUUAAGUCCCGCAACGAGCGCAACCCCUGUGAACUGUUGCCACCGGCCUUCGGGCCGAGCACUCUGUUCAGACUGCCCUGUGAAACGGGGAGGAAGGUGGGGAUGACGUCAAGUCAGCAUGGCCCUUACGGCCAGGGCUGCACACGUACUACAAUGCUCAGUACAGAAUGAACCGAAACCGCGAGGUGGAGGAAAUCCCUAAAACUGAGCCCAAUUCGGAUUGGAGGCUGCAACUCGCCUCCAUGAAGCCGGAAUCGCUAGUAAUGGCGUAUCAGCUACGACGCCGUGAAUACGUUCCCGGGCCUUGUACACACCGCCCGUCACAUCAUGGAAGUCACUUGUACCCGAAGUGCAUGCGCCAACCGCAAGGAGGCAGUGCCCUAAGGUAUGGGUGGUAACUGGGAUGAAGUCGUAACAAGGUAACCGU